rnacentral:misc_RNA from 1 species
GACCGUGACGGUACGUGAGUGGUGAGAUAACCCAGUGCGCUGGCGGGCCCCCUGCUUAAGUGCGGCCGACCGCGAGUGCGAUGGGAUACGCUUCGUUCAUGAAAUCCCAAAAUCAUUGGGGCUCCGCACGAUGCGGAGGGCAUAUUCGGUGGGUUGUAUCAACAUAGUCAGCACGCGGCAACUUGGUGACCCUACGUUAGUAACAUCAUGUCCUCCUCUCUCUCUCUCAUCCGCUCCUCUCGGACGGGCGGGAAGCGGGAAGCGGCCUCUUACGACAACGUCCCGUGCGUCCUCGGCAGCGCUUGCAGUCGCACGUGUGCGUUGCCUGCUUUGUCCGUCCGGACCUCGGGACAGUUGAGUGCUUACGGAUGCGGUGAAUCGGAUGGGGGGUCGGGUGGGCGCACGCUGCUGCCAACCCGAUGAAUGGAACGUGUUUGCGCACGCCGCGAGCGGGCAAACGAACGGAACGGAACGGAACGGAACGGAACGACCGCCGGCGGGCGGGCGUGCGUCGUCGUCGUCUCGUCUCCGCAAAGGGAGAGAUGAUGGGCCGCGCCGUCUGCGGGCGUCGUCUCGAAGGGCUCGCUACCUGGUUGAUC